GAGGGCUGUGGCUCAGUGGUACCGCAUCUGCUUGCAAUGCAGAAGGUCCCAGGUUCAGUCCCUGCCAUCUUCA
rnacentral:tRNA from 1 species